rnacentral:lncRNA from 1 species
CUGAAGUUCUCCUUUCCCUGAUGGCUGUUCCAGGUGACCAUUAUUCCCAGCUUCCAGAGGCCACUCCCAUUCCUUGGCUUGUGCCCCACCCCCUUCUUUUUCAUCUUCAAACAUGACAAUGACUGAACAAUGAGGGCGAGGAAUGGAAGUGCUCCUGACUAUGAAGCCAGAUAUGCUACAAGUAAUGGCUGACAAUAUUUCAAGAGCUGAGCAAAUAACACAGAGAAGAGACUGAUGGAUUCAAAACCUGUAACAGACAGAUCCUUUAGACAGUUUAUCUAUUGAACAUUCCAUGGCAUUUUUAUACUGUGGAUCACUAAAAUCAUCAUAUUAGUCUGCUGCUAUUGUAGAUGUUUUUCAUGAUGACUGAUCAGAAACCAUUGUAAUAGAUGUAAGAAUGGAGAAGGAUAUGCUCUUCAAGGUUUUGGAAGACAUUAUAGCUCAGUAAGUACUGGGAUGGCAACAGACCUGAAAACAACCUUGUGUCAUCACUAUAAUUUGUUCUGGAUGUUCCAUCAUAAGCAUUGUCCUUUAUAAAGAAUGCCCUUUGUGAUGGUUAUGCUUUGCACAAUAUCAUUUUAGUAACAAAAUUAAUACUUGUUGCAGUAUAUUAAAUCUCAGUGCAAUGGGGGCCCAAGAGUGUGCAAGACAAUUGUGAGACUGCAGUAAAUCUUUUGGAAUUGAUCCAUUUGAUUAACCAAAGUAGACUAGGUUAUAUUGCAAAAAGAUAUAUCAGUGUCUCAAUUCAGCAAAGGGGUAUUUCUGAGUUUGGCAACAUUCUAGGCAGGCACCUUCCAUGUAUGCAUCCAUGGUUCAGCUGCUUCUACCUUGUUCUUCCUCCAUUUCAAAUAUGCAUUCUUGGACACCACUAAUGAGGAAUAGACAGCAUAGAUAAUUCACACUUUUCUGUUAAAUACCUUGCGCUGCAAAUGGCACAGAUCACUUCUGCUUACGAGCCAAUGGUGAAUACUGGACAUAUGUUCCACUAACUCCAAGAGUCCAAGAGGGCUGAGAAAUGUAGUCUAUCCAGGUGCACAGAAAAUUGAGUACUAGAAAUAUCUGCUACACUAAUAGAUGGGAAACUGAGAUAAUUUCCUAAAUGAAGUCUUAUUGGCAUUAAGAAAUUGAUUCUGUUUUAACUAUUGGGGUUUUUUUGGCUCUCAUGAUUUUGCAUUUUAUUUCAUAUAAUCAUAAAAUGUUGAGUCAAUCCUGCCAGGGACUAUACUACACUCUGAUGGGAAUUUAGGUAAUUUUACAUAUGCAUUGAAUUCUUAGUCACUAAGUUUAAAGAUUAUCUUAUUUCUAUUAAAAAAUCGUACAAUCACAUGUGAUUGCAUUAUAUACUAUCUAGAUGUCAAAGUAUCUUACGUUUAUUUUCUUCAGAACCCAUAUUUCUAUACUGUAUUUCCCACCAUGUGUUCUAUAGGAAUGGAGCAGAAUUAGGCAUAUAAUGAGGCAGUGACAAACUAGAUUUAGAAUUUGUGUGAGGCAACUGUCUUUUCACUCUGCAGUACAGUAUUCUCACAACACUCCCAUCACAAAAGCGUUGUAAAAGCUGCUAACAAUCAGCAGCCUUGCAAAUUCUCAGUUUUAGGCAUUAACUAUGAAUGCCAUGACGAUAUCUAUGCAAAAUUGCUUGCCAUGUUUCACAUUUCCUGACCAGCAUCACUGGUCCCUCACUCUCUCUGAACAUAAAAUAGAAAGAUAAUUAAUAUGUUUUAUCCCAUUAAGGAACAUAUAAUAAGAAACUUCUAUUCUUAUGUCUAAUACCUUUAUAGUAUCUCAUAUCAAGAAUUUGAGGUGCUAUUUAGAUUCCAUGAGAUUUCUUAUGGGAAAAAAAUCUCGGUUCUAAAAUUAUUUUGUUUUUAUUUCUCUUUUUUUUUCCUGACUAUAAUAUAAAUGUUAAAUUUAUUUAAGUAAUCCAAAGCACAUAUUUGUCCUUUGUAAAACUUUAAUUGAAACAAUUGUAUAAAGGUAUAAAGUGCAUUUCCAUAUGUGUAUUCAUUGUGUAAUGAUCAAAUAAGCGUAAUGAUUUGGGGGUAACAUAUCUGGCUAGUGAGCAUGCACCCAUUCUGGACACAACUUCUCUGGGCAGGACUGCUUAUUCUUGGGGGCAGGGUCAACACAGGCUCCAGCGUCAGGUUGCUGGACCGAUGAUCCCAGAGGCUAGGGUCUGCAGUUUCUAGGAUAUGGAAGGCAUAGCGCCUCCAAGACAGCUUGUUCUCUAGGUAUAGGAAGCUGUGGCAGCUCAGUGAGUGCACUAUGAUGCGUGAAUGUGGUGUCAAUGUAGCAUGGACUCAGGAAUGGAAAGAUGUAGUGGCUACUGGCUCCUGAAACAGGAUGCACUUUAGCCGUGACUCCAGUGUCAAGAUGACACCAUACAGGUGCAGCUUGGGUCAUGGAGUAAGGAGCGGGGCACAGUGUGGGCUUCUUCUCUGGCACAGUGCAGAGGUGUGGGUGCAAGGCAGCUCCCAAAACUAAGCUCAGUGCCUGUGGGGACUACAGGGUUCUCCAUUAGCAAAGACUGCAGGUGUUUGCAAUGUUGGCGGGGCUGCUGGGAGCCUCCUGCCUGCCUACCUUUUCUCUCCUGGGGAAAGUGCCUUCUUUCUCUGAGUUGAACCUGGCUGGGAAUAAGAUGUGGCAGAGGCAGGCUGUUUCCUUUUCUUCUUCAGACCCUCCCUAAAGGUCUCCUUCCUCUAUGCAUUUUAUCGUUCCAACACUGUACUCCAUCACUCUCAAACACUCCAAUUCAAAUGUGUUGGUUUAAUUGUUGUUUUGAUCCUUUA